CAUAAGCCACUGCACUUUCGUUGAAGAAAGCCAUGAAUAAUCACUUGUUUUAGAAUGCAAGUCGCACUUUAAUUACGUGAAGAAAAAGAUACCAGGAAAGUUCCAAAAUUAAUUGAAGCCGCCAAUGGGUUGUACAAGAUGAUUAACUUUCAAUUAAUGAGAUGCUGCUUACAGUUCUACUCCACAACAAUCCAUUAUUGAACAGUUAGCAACAUGCAUGUCACACACAAGCUAAUCCCUCAUAGAAUAUUACUGAAAAUCAGAGAUGGGUUCCUGGCUUCGAUGGAAGUCACCAGAGGGGAUGAUAUUAGUUCAAUAAAAGCAAUGGGUCCCUUUAAAUGAGUGUAACCAAAUAGUUUUAAAAUUUUUGGCUGACAACAGGAGCUACAAACAUCUACUAAAGGACCUUAUAAAUAAUAAAAUAAAAAUGACAAGCCAGUUUAGUUUCACAAAGCAGAGCUAGACAGAUAUUUCAUCUAAAAUAUUCCCUAGAAGAGAUUAUUUGUAAAGCACAGGAACUGAACUCAUACAUGCAUUGUUAUUAUUAAAGAAGGUCCUACAACAACCUUCACAGCAAGAAAACAAAAACAAAAUGUGAAGCAACAAAGAAGCGUUCUUAGGAUACACACGAUAG